AGAAUUCUAAAAAAAAAUGGCUGGAUGCUCGGCACGUGGAGGUCCGUCUUCUAAAGAAAUGGGACCCCACACUAAUGCCCAUGGGCAGUGCAUCGAAAUAUCUCUGAGCAAACCGUCAGCAAGCCAUCCAUUUUCUAGAAAGGAGGCCACACUUCCACGGCAAACCAUUGAGACAGGAAGCCCAUGUGGAUGCAGUGCUCAAGAUCUUAUAAGACUUAAAGGAGCAAUAAUUCAGAUCCAAGGAAGACAGUUGUGAUAAACACACCAAUAACAAACAAUACAAAUUGGAUUUCAGCUGUGGUGCCACAAUAGGCUUGUCUCCACAAAUCAAGCAUCAGCAUGAGAUAGCAGAUCUGUCCUUGGUGGUAGCUUUGCUUAAUCUGACACUCCACUACUAGGUCAUGAGAAUCAUACUCUCCUCAGUGGAACCUUCGCUUCAUUUGACACUCCACUACUAGCUACAAGCUUUUCAAUGAGAAUCAUGGUCUCCUCAGUGGAACUUUUGCUUCCUUUGACACUCCACUACUAGUUACAAGCUUGUCAUGAGGAUCAUGGUGUCCUCAGUGGAACCUUCGCUUCAUUUGACACUCCACUACUAGCUACAAGCUUGUGAUAAGAAUCAUACUCUCCUCAGGGGUGCCUUUGCUUCAUUUGACACUCCACUACUAGCUACAAGCUUGUCAUGAGAUUCAUGGUCUCCUUAGUGGUACCUUUGCUUCAUUUGACACUCCACUACUAGCUACAAACUUGACAUGAGAUUCAUGGUCUCCUCAGUGGUACCCUUGUUUCAUUUGACACUCCACUACUAGCUACAAACUUGACACGAGUAUCAUACUCUCCUCAAAGGUGCCUUUGCUUCCUUGACCUCCACUACUAGCCACAAGCUUGUCAUGCGAAUCAUAUUCUCCUCAGCGGUACCUUUGCUUCAUUUGAUACUCCACUACUAGCUACAAGCUUGUCAUGAGUAUUGUACUGUCCUCAGUUGUACCUGUGCUUCAUUUGACACUCCAGAUCACUGCAAACAUCCCAUGAGAACCAUACUGUCCUCAGUGGUACCUAUGCUUCAUUUGACACUCCACUACCAUGAGCUACCAGCUUCCUACCAAAGUCAUUUCAAUCUCCUGCUGUGGCUUUGAUGAAAGACUUUAUAUCAUGUCACCCCAUAAAGAGGUUUACUACAUGUAUCAGGAACUCUACCAACUGAAAGACAUUUGAUUUGAGUGAUGCAGAUAAAGGCACCAAAAAAGAGUUUUUAUGGAGAAAGGAUGUAAACAGUGGCAUAGCUUCAAAUGUUACCUGAAAGCAAACUGAAAGCAAAUAUGUUCCAUUUCCAGUCAAAAUGCCCCAUCCAAAUGAGUCCGUGAAAAAUGUCAAAUUUUCCAAUGAUUUCAGUCGACCAAAAUGGUUGACCUGUACCAUAAAAAGGGUAGCUUGGAUUCCACUGGUGUUCUUGGUUUGAAAUUGUCUCAAAAGUUGCCAGUUUGUGGGCAUUUCAAUAUUCACAGAGCUAAGCUACUGAAAUAAUGUAAGAUGCGCGGUUAAAGAAAUUAGGAUUUAUACAUUUAUGGCAAAUGUCCAGUGAGGUGGUUCAGCUUUGAAAGAUCCCUUGCGUUGUUUUCAUUAUCAGAGUGGUCUAAACUAAGACAAAAACAGUAUUUGUGCGUUUGAGAUAAACAUGACGUAAAAACUGAAAUUGCAUACCAUGAAAUUUGGAGUAGUCCAUGAUGCAAUAAAUGUACAGUAUGUACAUGUAUGCAUAUUUGCAUGAUGUAAAAAUACCCUGUAUUCACUCACGGUAGGAUCUUUCAAAAUUGAGCAAACCAAUCACAUUUUUUACAUGUAUGGAACUUACAUUUUGUCCUUUUCUAACCAGUCCUCACUUCCAGCCAGACUUUAAAGUUGAACAAAAGAAGAUAGCUUCACUCUGAUAAGAUAUCCAAUUUUUGUCUAAAUCAAACAUUUUGUCUCUGAGAACUUAAUUAAUACGGCUGUGCACAGAUUCUUCGAGUAAAGAUAACGGAUGCGUAUAAAUUCUGAGCUAAAAAACCUUUUUCAUCCAAAGCAUGAAUAUAUAUAUAUAUUUUUUCACUAGUCAGUUCAUAAAGAUAUUGUCUGAUCUCAUAAAAUCACUAAAUCCAAAUUUUUUGUUGUAGCAUUUUCAAAAGAAAGAAUCCUUUUAAAAUGAUCACCAAGUUUAUGUAAGUAUACAUGUGAGGGCUGGUUAUCUUAGGUUUGUUGUGUUUUGUUGAACUCAUUAGUUCCUGAAAGCCAGGUGAAAGAUGGGAAAUGGAUGUAAGUUUUGAAAGAAUUAAUGUAAAGAAGAUAAAUGUAUCUCUUCAGAUGCUUUCACUGAUCACCCUUUUAUUUGCAAUUUCAAUCAAGCAUUCAGGUAUAUUUCUUAAGCUUACAAACCUGCUCCCAAAAUUUGUAUGGAAACUGAAUGUUUUGUGAUAAGCCUUUUUUAAGAAAUAUGAAGUCCAUGUUUGCCAAUCCAAAGUACAUGUACAUGUAUGUAUUUUGGCUCACUUUAAGCUCUUAAAUUGUACUAUUCAAAGUACUUAAUCUUUAAAGGAGGUUUACCCAUCUCUCACCUGGUUUUAAUCUUGUAAUCAGCAUUGAUGACCAAAAACAAAAUGAGCAUCUUGACCAUUUUUCAUAGAUCAAAAAGUCAACCUUGUGUGCAGAAAUUUGGACCAAUUGUAUUUUGACAGUGAGAGCAGUUUUUGAGAGACGGAUAAAAGCAAAGUCAUUUAUUAUGAGUUGCUGGAUAUCCAAUUUAGCAUACCUUUCCAUCAUACUUUGACAAACCAAGAAGUUCAAACUUUGUCAGUAUUUGGCAUGUUUUAGAUUAACUUGAACUAGACAAUUAUUUGAAAACUACAGAUGACUGCAUUGUCAUUCAUCAGUGCUGAUUAUGCUUCAAAAGAUUACUUUUAUGAAAAAAUAAUUUAUUAACAAUAUUUACAUUUUUAUGUUUUAUCACCAGGCAAACCGAAAUAAAACCAAAGCCCAGCCACAUGCAGGCCCUCCUGGUGCGUGCACGUGUGUUCCCUGCCCGCAGACGCUGACAGGUUGGUGGUUGCCCGCUAUCUGCAUCGGCUUGUGAAUCGGCUGUUGGUGAUGUAUACAACCUCCCGAAAUCUUGUGAGUCUGGGUGAUUGUGGAUACCUCAGUAGACAGCAACAUGGUAAGGAUCCUCUGAACUUUGGCAAUUGGUCAAUUUGUCUACCAAGCAGAUGUUACAUGUCCACUGCUCCAGGGAUGGCAACCUGAGAGAACACUUCUGCGCCUGCUCUGCCAUUGCUCACUUGGCAAUUCCUAUGUUCUCGGACAUCGUGUUGUAAGAUCUCUGAAAAAAAUUGCAAAUGGUAAUUUUUGUGUGCUUCCUGAGAUAUUCUACAUGUCAAAGGAUACAGUGUCAGUAUUUUGGCCCAUGAAUUAUGGAAACCUCCAGAGUCAAACUUAUUACAUAGUUGGUUAUCUAACGAGUUGAAACAAAAACGAAGUCAAAUCAAAGUUGUUCCGGAAUAAAAAGUUUUGAAUGAAGCAGCUAAAAUGAUGCUGAAAAUUAGUAAAUAUUUGAGAAAAAAAAUGAAAACCUCUUGCAAAUCACGGCAGUCAUAGUUUUGGUAGCAUGCACAUAAAGUAAAUCUAUAAGCAAAUUUAGUUCUGUUGAAGUCACAAAACUGGCAUCAAACAUGUAUGUGAAAAACAAAAGGCAGAACCCUGUUUUUGAUACAGCAUGUUCCCUCAGUUUAAAAAGAAAAUCGUGUUAAAAAAAGAAAGUGGGAAAAAGUGCAGAUCUUUAGAAUGUGAGAUAUUUUAAAAGAAAUUGAUCUGUGCCACAGUCAAUUUCAAUGUUUAGCUGAUAUAUGAAAAGGAAGUUACGCAUGGAAACCCAGAAAAGGAAGGAGACAAACUCUUGUAACUUCUGCAGAGAAUUCAUGAUGUUUAAAGGAGAAGAACCAUGCUGUUAGACUGCUUAGUGGAUGAUGCAACCAGGCCAUUCAUUCACAUUGUAGAGAGGCUACACACUCAGACUUCAAAUCAGGAAGGAAAUAAA